rnacentral:rRNA from 1 species
CGGGGGGGGCAAGCGUUGUUCGGAAUUACUGGGCGUAAAGGGCUCGUAGGCGGCCAACUAAGUCGGAUGUGAAAUCCCCAGGCUCAACUUGGGAACUGCAUCCGAUACUGGAUGGCUUGAAUCCGGGAGAGGGAUGCAGAAUUCCAGGUGUAGCGGUGAAAUGCGUAGAUAUCUGGAGGAAUACCGGUGGCGAAGGCGGCAUCCUGGACCGGCAUUGACGCUGAUGAGCGAAAGCUAGGGGAGCAAACGGGAUUAGAUACCCCGGUAGUCCUAGCCCUAAACGAUGAAUGCUUGGUGUGACGGGUAUCGAUCCCUGUCGUGCCGAAGCAAACGCAUUAAGCAUUCCGCCUGGGGAGUACGGUCGCAAGGCUG